rnacentral:rRNA from 1 species
CCAGACUCCUACGGGAGGCAGCAGUGAGGAAUAUUGGUCAAUGGGCGUAAGCCUGAACCAGCCAAGUCGCGUGAGGGACGACGGCCCUACGGGUUGUAAACCUCUUUUGCCGGGGGACAAACGGCGGCACGCGUGCCGUCCUGAGGGUACCCGGAGAAAAAGCAUCGGCUAACUCCGUGCCAGCAGCCGCGGUAAUACGUAGGGGGCAAGCGUUAUCCGGAUUUACUGGGUGUAAAGGGAGCGUAGACGGAGCGUCAAGUCUGGAGUGAAAUGCCGCGGCUUAACCGCGGAACUGCUUUGGAAACUGGCGCGCUUGAGUGCGGGAGGGGUAAGCGGAAUUCCUAGUGUAGCGGUGAAAUGCGUAGAUAUUAGGAGGAACACCGGUGGCGAAGGCGGCUUACUGGACCGUAACUGACGUUGAGGCUCGAAAGCGUGGGGAGCAAACAGGAUUAGAUACCCGCGUA